GCGGGCACAGACGGAUGGCCGCCUCGCCCUGCAGCGCGGAGUCGCCUUGGCAACUGCGGUCCCGGCAGAUUCCCAGUGAGAGCCUGCGCUGUGCGGGGGAGAGUGUCGCGCCGGCCGCCGUCCCAGGACUUUUAUUUCAAAUGUGACCUGUGUAGCAACCGCAGUUCCCAAACCCGGGAAGAAGAGAGUAUAGAUGAGUCUUAAAAUCUAUGUUGACUGUUUUGUGUUUCCAGACACCCUUGCCUUCCUUUUUCUGGUCUACCAUUUAGAUUUAGAUCUUUCGUCUCCCUUGUUUCCCCAGCCUACGUAUCCUUUAAUAAAUUCCUGCAUUUUGAAAACGGAGAAUUUCAAAUGCGAUUAUCGUCAUUUUGCAGAUGAGAAAUAAAGGCUGGGAAAGAUUUAAAAAGAUUGAACAUCAAGGGAGAGUUCGGCUCCCAGGACCUUGACCUCGCUACAUGGGCAGAGAACGCCCAGGUGUUGUUGCAAUUGUUGUGCUGGACGAUGAGUGCCCGGGGGCGGGGGCGGGGGCGGGGGCUUGACGCAGGUCUUUGCAGCUCUAAAGCUCAGUUUACACCAUCUCUCAACAUUAAAAUAUUGUGUACUGGGGUUUAAUAAUAAAACUGUACAGAUGUGAUAAUAUACUAAAACUUUCACUUAACGGAAGAGGUGCCUUUAAAGAAAAAACCGCACAGGGG
rnacentral:lncRNA from 10 species